GAUGAACGCUGGCGGCGCGCCUAAUACAUGCAAGUCGAGCGACGAAACAGUUCUUCGUAAGAAGAGCUGCUGAAAGCGGCGAACGGGUGAGUAACACGUGGGCAACGUGCCCCUGACUUCGGGAUAACAACGGGAAACCGUUGCUAAUACCGUAUAAACCUGCAGCACCGCAUGGUGCAACAGGCUAAAGUUUUCGGUCAGGAUCGGCCCGCGGCCUAUCAGCUUGNGGUGGGGUAACGGCCUACCAAGGCAUUGACGGGUAGCUGGCGUGAGGGGCGCGGCCAGCCACACUGGGACUGAGA
rnacentral:rRNA from 1 species